CAGUUUGCCUCCAUGGAGAGCUCCUAUGGACAUAGACCUUGCAAAGACACUCUCAUUUUUGCCAUUACAUGCAUGUUUUGCAUAACGAAGUACCAUGUGUGCUAUUCCUGCAAUGAUCACAAUUGGAGUUGCCGUGUGUGCUAUUCCUAAAAUGAUCACAACUGGAGUUGCUAUUACCGCCACUGCACCAGAUACCGGACACCCGUGGUGCGGUUGUUUUAUCUGCUGCAUUUGAUCCAAUGACACCCCAGUUAUAACUUCUCUAUCCUUUACAUACAAAAUCCAAAGGCUUUUUGCUGCUUGCUGGCCAUGUUGAAUCGUAAAGCAAACAUGUAGAAAGUCACUCAAGGAAUUAAGAAAAUUGAAGAGGAAGGGUUAGUUUUCAAUGGGAUUGGAGAAUUGGAUGGGUGCAAACUCAACAGGAGGUUUUUAUGUAUUUUUUUUUGCCCUUGUGGUAUUAGAGACUAUAAUGAUGCAGAAGUUCUGGCCAUAAGGAAGGCCUUCAAUUUUCUAAAUUACUUCGUAGCUCUGAUGUGUCUAAGAUUAUUAUUGAAUCCGAUUCUUUCAAAGUGAUUACAUGGAUUUCCUCUUCACCAGAUAAUAGGCCAUGAUGUCUUCAACAGGAAUUCAACAUCAUUGAUAAUUUAAGAAUGAUAAUAGGGUGUAUUUCUUUUUAACAUGUGCUGUGUGAAGGAAAUCGUGUUGCUAACAGUCUCGCAAAGCAAAGAGUCUCAAGGGACUUUGAUUUCAUUGCAUGGUUAUAAUGCUUCAAUAACGCAAUCAAGAAUUUAUAUUCUCAGGAAGGAGGGGUUGUUGGUUUCUAGUGGUUUUUGCGUUUCCUCUUGGUUUUAUUUUUGUUUAACUUUUGUGGCAAUUUUUUUGGCUUGUGGGUAGUUUAUUUAGCUGGUGAUCCUUCCCUUGUGGGUAGUUAUUUAGCUGUUGAUUCUUCUCUACCUGAUGAAAAUCUGUUAAAUUGUUGCUUUGGGUGUUCUCAUGCUUCCUAGGCUACUGGUUGUGUCAUCUUGGAUGCUAGUUAUGUUCUUCUAGUUUUUGCAGAAAUUUAUGCUCAUUGCAACAAUUGGGUUGCUGCUGCUUUUUGAGUGCUACAAUUCCCUUUUGCUCUUUGUUGCUGGUUGGUUUGAUCUAUUUUAGUUCAAUCUCUUAAUGGUUGUGUUUUG
rnacentral:misc_RNA from 1 species